rnacentral:rRNA from 1 species
UGGGGAAUAUUGCACAAUGGGCGCAAGCCUGAUGCAGCCAUGCCGCGUGUGUGAAGAAGGCCUUCGGGUUGUAAAGCACUUUCAGCGAGGAGGAAGGUGGUGGACUUAAUACGUUCAUCAAUUGACGUUACUCGCAGAAGAAGCACCGGCUAACUCCGUGCCAGCAUCCGCGGUAAUACGGAGGGUGCAAGCGUUAAUCGGAAUUACUGGGCGUAAAGCGCACGCAGGCGGUUUGUUAAGUCAGAUGUGAAAUCCCCGGGCUCAACCUGGGAACUGCAUUUGAAACUGGCAAGCUAGAGUCUCGUAGAGGGGGGUAGAAUUCCAGGUGUAGCGGUGAAAUGCGUAGAGAUCUGGAGGAAUACCGGUGGCGAAGGCGGCCCCCUGGACGAAGACUGACGCUCAGGUGCGAAAGCGUGGGGAGCAAACAGGAUUAGAUAUCCUGGUAGUCCACGCUGUAAACGAUGUCGAUUUUGGAGGUUGUGCCCUUGAGGCGUGGCUUCCGGAGCUAACGCGUUAAAGUCGACCGCCUGGGGGAG